rnacentral:rRNA from 1 species
UACGUAGGGUGCGAGCGUUGUUCGGAAUCAUUGGGCGUAAAGCGAGAGUAGGUGGUUUGCUAAGUCGGGUGUGAAAUCCCUGGGCUCAACCCAGGAAGUGCAUUCGAAACUAGCUGGCUAGAAGAUGGUAGAGGAAGGUGGAAUUCCAAGUGUAGAGGUGAAAUUCGUAGAUAUUUGGAGGAACACCGGUGGCGAAGGCGGGUCUCUGGGCCGAUAUUGACGCUGAGGAGCGAAAGCGUGGGGAGCGAACAGG